CCCUUAGAUGUUCUGGGCCGCACGCGUGCUACACUGAGUGGAUCAGCGGGUCAGGUUACGCGAGAGCGUUUCCUAAUCUUCAAAUCCGCUCGUGAUGGGGAUUGACGGUUGCAAUUUUCCGUCAUGAACGAGGAAUACCUUGUAAGCGCGGGUCAUCAUCCCGCGCUGAAUACGUCCCUGCCCUUUGUACACACCGCCCGUCGCUACUACCGAUUGAAUGGUUUAGUGAGGACUCCUGAUUGGCGCCGCCGCCCCGGCAACGGAGCAGCGGACUGCCGAAAAGUUGUUCAAACUUGAUCAUUUAGAGGAAGUAAAAGUCGUAACA
rnacentral:rRNA from 1 species